GUGGUCCCUUUGGCAGCAUGAAUACUAAAAUUGGAAUUAUACGGAUAAGAUUAGCAGGGCCCUUGGGAAAGGAUGGUGGGCGAACUUGUGAAGCAUUCCUUAUUGAG
ensembl:snRNA U6 U6 spliceosomal RNA